rnacentral:rRNA from 1 species
GGCGGUUUGUCGCGUCUGCUGUGAAAUCCCGAGGCUCAACCUCGGGCCUGCAGUGGGUACGGGCAGACUAGAGUGCGGUAGGGGAGAUUGGAAUUCCUGGUGUAGCGGUGGAAUGCGCAGAUAUCAGGAGGAACACCGAUGGCGAAGGCAGAUCUCUGGGCCGUAACUGACGCUGAGGAGCGAAAGGGUGGGGAGCAAACAGGCUUAGAUACCCUGGUAGUCCACCCCGUAAACGUUGGGAACUAGUUGUGGGGUCCAUUCCACGGAUUCCGUGACGCAGCUAACGCAUUAAGUUCCCCGCCUGGGGAGUACGGCCGGCAAGGCUAAAACUCAAAGGAAUUGGCGGGGACCCGCACAAGCGGCGGAGCAUGCGGAUCAAUUCGAUGCAACGCGAAGAACCUUACCAAGGCUUGACAUAUACGAGAACGGGCCAGAAAUGGUCAACUCUUUGGACACUCGUAAACAGGUGGUGCAUGGUUGUCGUCAGCUCGUGUCGUGAGAUGUUGGGUUAAGUCCCGCAACGAGCGCAACCCUCGUUCUAUGUUGCCAGCACGUAAUGGUGGGAACUCAUGGGAUACUGCCGGGGUCAACUCGGAGGAAGGUGGGGAUGACGUCAAAUCAUCAUGCCCCUUAUGUCUUGGGCUUCACGCAUGCUACAAUGGCCGGUACAAAGGGCUGCAAUACCGUGAGGUGGAGCGAAUCCCAAAAAGCCGGUCCCAGUUCGGGUUGAGGUCUGCAACUCGACCUCAUGAAGUCGGAGUCGCUAGUAAUCGCAGAUCAGCAAC